rnacentral:ncRNA from 1 species
GCGGUGAUGUAGAAUCUGAAAUGGGCUGGCAGCAAACUCCUGCCUAACAUAAACAAACUAUGUUUGAGGCAGCUGUAUUCGGGUGAAACUGCAAUACAAGUUAAAGCUUAAUGCUGUUAAGGAAUACGGCAGUAGGUACAUCAGAUGCAUAGCAGGGAAGGUUGU